AUUGUGGUUUCCAGGCUGCUAUAUGCUCAGUUUCCUGCAGCAGCACUCACAGUGAAAGAUCCCCAGAGUGGGGAGACCCUCACUCAAGUCUUGGGAUAAAGCAACACCCCAAUAAUUCAAGAGAGACA
rnacentral:pre_miRNA from 11 species